rnacentral:rRNA from 1 species
AUUGAACGCUGGCGGCAUGCCUUACACAUGCAAGUCGAACGGCAGCGCGGGGUAACCUGGCGGCGAGUGGCGAACGGGUGAGUAAUAUAUCGGAACGUACCCUGGAGUGGGGGAUAACGUAGCGAAAGUUACGCUAAUACCGCAUACGAUCUAAGGAUGAAAGUGGGGGAUUCGCAAGAACCUCAUGCUCNUGGAGCGGCCGAUAUCUGAUUAGCUAGUUGGUGGGGUAAAGGCCUACCAAGGCAUCGAUCAGUAGCUGGUCUGAGAGGACGACCAGCCACACUGGAACUGAGACACGGUCCAGACUCCUACGGGAGGCAGCAGUGGGGAAUUUUGGACAAUGGGCGAAAGCCUGAUCCAGCAAUGCCGCGUGCAGUGAAGAAGGCCUUCGGGUUGUAAAGCUCUUUUGUCCGGGAAGAAACGGUGAAGGCUAAUAUCCUUUGCUAAUGACGGUACCUGAAGAAUAAGCACCGGCUAACUACGUGCCAGCAGCCGCGGUAAUACGUAGGGUGCAAGCGUUAAUCGGAAUUACUGGGCGUAAAGCGUGCGCAGGCGGUUUUGUAAGUCUGUCGUGAAAUCCCCGGGCUCAACCUGGGAAUUGCGAUGGAGACUGCAAGGCUAGAAUCUGGCAGAGGGGGGUAGAAUUCCACGUGUAGCAGUGAAAUGCGUAGAGAUGUGGAGGAACACCGAUGGCGAAGGCAGCCCCCUGGGUCAAGAUUGACGCUCAUGCACGAAAGCGUGGGGAGCAAACAGGAUUAGAUACCCUGGUAGUCCACGCCCUAAACGAUGUCUACUAGUUGUCGGGUUUUAAUUAACUUGGUAACGCAGCUAACGCGUGAAGUAGACCGCCUGGGGAGUACGGUCGCAAGAUUAAAACUCAAAGGAAUUGACGGGGACCCGCACAAGCGGUGGAUGAUGUGGAUUAAUUCGAUGCAACGCGAAAAACCUUACCUACCCUUGACAUGUACGGAAGCCACGAGAGAUCGAGGUGUGCUCGAAAGAGAACCGUAACACAGGUGCUGCAUGGCUGUCGUCAGCUCGUGUCGUGAGAUGUUGGGUUAAGUCCCGCAACGAGCGCAACCCUUGUCAUUAGUUGCUACNAAAGAGCACUCUAAUGAGACUGCCGGUGACAAACGAAGUGUAAGGGGGGGGAUGACAUCAAGUCCUCAUGGCCCUUAUGGGUAGGGCUUCACACCUCAUACAAUGGUACAUACAGAGGGCCGCCAACCCGCGAGGGGGAGCUAAUCCCANAAAGUGUAUCGUAUUCCGGAUUGUANUCUGCNACUCGACUACAUGAAGUUGGAAUCGCUAGUAAUCGCGGAUCAGCAUGUCGCGGUGAAUACGUUCCCGGGUCUUGUACACACCGCCCGUCACACCAUGGUGAGCGGGUUUUACCAGAAGUAGGUAGCUUAACCGCAAGGAGGGCGCUUACCACGGUAGGAUUCGUGACUGGGGUG